GCCCAGGUAGCUCAGGUGGUAGAGCAGUGGACUGAAAAUCCUCGUGUCGGUGGUUCAAAUCCGCCCCUGGGCACCA
rnacentral:tRNA from 1 species